UACGUAGGGUGCAAGCGUUAAUCGGAAUUACUGGGCGUAAAGCGUGAGCAGGCGGUUUUGUAAGUCUGACGUGAAAUCCCCGGGCUCAACCUGGGAAUUGCGUUGGAGACUGCAAGGCUGGAGUCUGGCAGAGGGGGGUAGAAUUCCACGUGUAGCAGUGAAAUGCGUAGAGAUGUGGAGGAACACCGAUGGCGAAGGCAGCCCCCUGGGUCAAGACUGACGCUCAUGCACGAAAGCGUGGGGAGCAAACAGG
rnacentral:rRNA from 1 species